rnacentral:misc_RNA from 1 species
GAUGAAGAACGUAGUUAAAUGCGAUAAGUAAUGUGAAUUGCAGAAUUCAGUGAAUCAUCGAAUCUUUGAACGCACAUUGCGCCCGUCAGUAUUCUGGCGGGCAUGCCUGUUCGAGCGUCAUUACGCCCCUCAAGUCCCCUGUGGACUUGGUGUUGGGGAUCGGCGAGGCUGGUUUUCCAGCACAGCCGUCCCUUAAAUUAAUUGGCGGUCUCGCCGUGGCCCUCCUCUGCGCAGUAGUAAAACACUCGCAACAGGAGCCCGGCGCGGUCCACUGCCGUAAAACCCCCCAACUUUUUAUAGUUGACCUCGAAUCAGGUAGGACUACCCGCUGAACUUAAGCAUAUCAAUAAGCGGAGGA